UAUGGCUAUAUCACAUUGAAACUCCAGUUCCCAUACAAUCACUGAAGUUAAGCAACAUCAAGCCUAAUCAGUACCUAGACGGGUGAUUGCUUGGGAAUACUAGGUGCUGUAA